rnacentral:rRNA from 1 species
UACGGGGAGGCAGCAGUGGGGAAUAUUGCACAAUGGGGGAAACCCUGAUGCAGCCAUGCCGCGUGUGUGAAGAAGCCUUCGGGUUGUAAAGCACUUUCAGUAGGGAGGAAGGUAGUGUAGUUAACACCUGCAUUAUUUGACGUUACCUACAGAAGAAGCACCGGCUAACUCCGUGCCAGCAGCCGCGGUAAUACGGAGGGUGCGAGCGUUAAUCGGAAUUACUGGGCGUAAAGCGCAUGCAGGCGGCCUGUUAAGUCAGAUGUGAAAGCCCGGGGCUUAACCUCGGAAUUGCAUUUGUAAACUGGCAGGCUAGAGUCUUGUAGAGGGGGGUAGGAAUUUCAGGUGUAGCGGUGAAAUGCGUAGAGAUCUGAAGGAAUACCAGUGGCGAAGGCGGCCCCCUGGACAAAGACUGACGCUCAGAUGCGAAAGCGUGGGGAGCAAACAGGAUUAGAUACCCUGGUAG